rnacentral:rRNA from 1 species
AGAGUUUGAUCCUGGCUCAGAUUGAACGCUGGCGGUAUGCUUAACACAUGCAAGUCGAACGGAAACGAUGGAAGCUUGCUUCCAGGCGUCGAGUGGCGGACGGGUGAGUAACGCGUAGGAAUCUGCCUGAUAGUGGGGGAUAGCCCGGAGAAAUUCGGAUUAAUACCGCAUAAUCUCUACGGAGUAAAGGAGGCCUCUAUUUAUAUGCUUUCGCUAUCAGAUGAGCCUGCGUAAGAUUAGCUAGUUGGUGAGGUAAAGGCUCACCAAGGCGACGAUCUUUAGCUGGUCUGAGAGGAUGAUCAGCCACACUGGGACUGAGACACGGCCCAGACUCCUACGGGAGGCAGCAGUGGGGAAUAUUGGACAAUGGGCGCAAGCCUGAUCCAGCAAUACCGCGUGUGUGAAGAAGGCCUGAGGGUUGUAAAGCACUUUCAAUUGUGAAGAAAAGCUAAAGG